GUGUCAGCCGCCGCGGUAAUACGUAGGUGGCAAGCGAUAUCCGGAAUUAUUGGGCGUAAAGCGCGCGUAGGCGGAAUUUUAAGUCUGAUGUGAAAGCCCACGGCUCAUCCGUGGAGGGUCAUUGGAAACUGGAAAACUUGAGUGCAGAAGAGGAAAGUGGAAUUCCAUGUGUAGCGGUGAAAUGCGCAGAGAUAUGGAGGAACACCAGUGGCGAAGGCGACUUUCUGGUCUGUAACUGACGCUGAGGCUCGAAAGCGUGGGGAGCAAACAG
rnacentral:rRNA from 1 species